rnacentral:sRNA from 1 species
CAUGAUGGAAGGAGCUGGGAUCCCUGAAUCACCUUGUGGAGGAGAACUUAACUUACAUCAGAAUGAGCAUUCUUGUAGUUGAUCCAGUCCACUGAAGAACUAGAAGAUUCAAUAGGGCAAGUGUGGUCUCUCCAGUUGGACUCCAAAAGAGUGGGGCAUUUGCUAUCUGCUUAAAAUGAGGAAGUAUCUAUCAGUUGAAAUUAAAUCGUCUUCCAACUUGAA